rnacentral:rRNA from 1 species
GACGAACGCUGGCGGCGUGCUUAACACAUGCAAGUCGAACGGAAAGGCCCUGCUUUUGUGGGGUGCUCGAGUGGCGAACGGGUGAGUAACACGUGAGUAACCUGCCCUUGACUUUGGCAUAACUUCAGGAAACUGGGGCUAAUACCGGAUAGGAGCUCCUGCUGCAUGGUGGGGGUUGGAAAGUUUCGGCGGUUGGGGCUGGACUCGCGGCUUAUCAGCUUGUUGGUGGGGUAGUGGCUUACCACGGCAUUGACGGGUAGCCGGCCUGAGAGGGUGACCGGCCACAAUGGGACUGAGAUACGGCCCAGACUCCUACGGGAGACAGCAGUGGCGAGUAUUACACAGUGAGCGGGAGCGUGGUGCAGCAACGCCGCGUGCGGGAUGACGGCCUUCGGGUUGUAAACCGCUUUCGCCUGUGACGAAGCGUGAGUGACGGUAAUGGGUAAAGAAGCACCGGCUAACUACGUG